CUCAGUGUGCUGAGGGACGGCUGCCAUUGGCUGAGAGUAGGCGGGAGGCAGGGUCAUUUCUGUACAGUCUGUUGAUCAGUAUUUCUUAUAUCUCUCCUGUCAUUUGGUGGAUCUUGCUGUUUUAUUCUCCCUGGUCCAGAGACCUGUAUUAAACUGUAUUAAACUGUAUAGAUUGUGCAAAAAGCUGAAUGUUGCAUAGCAGAAGAGAAAAGCUAUUCCUCACAGAUGACAAAGUGAUUUAAAAUGUAUAAAAGAAAUUCAGAAACAAAGUUUAGGGGAUAAAUGUAAUAUUUUGUUUGUAAUUACUAUUUUUUGUUGGAAGAGGGCUACUGGAUAAAGAAUCAUCUGUAAUAAAGUAAUUUUAAUAUUU